UUGACAAUUUGACCUCAAUCAG
rnacentral:rRNA from 1 species